rnacentral:lncRNA from 1 species
CGUUAAAAUCUAAAACGUUGUUACAUACACUAGCAAAUCGUACAAGUUGAGAUAUAUAAACACCGUAAGAUGGUGACAAGGGAACGUCACCAUCUAAAAAUGGAUAACUAACGAUAGGAAAUGAAAAAUCAUCUCUUUUAUCAUAAAUUUUAGUAUUAAGCUUUCCGUUAAUGAUAUAGAUAUCAAGAUCGAGGAAAGGGCA